GACGAACGCUGGCGGCGUGCUUAACACAUGCAAGUCGAACGGAAAGGCCCUGCUUUUGUGGGGUGCUCGAGUGGCGAACGGGUGAGUAACACGUGAGUAACCUGCCCUUGACUUUGGGAUAACUUCAGGAAACUGGGGCUAAUACCGGAUAGGAGCUCCUGCUGCAUUGUGUUGGUUGGAAAGUUUCGGCGGUUGGGGAUGGACUCGCGGCUUAUCAGCUUGUUGGUGGGGUAGUGGCUUACCAAGGCUUUGACGGGUAGCCGGCCUGAGAGGGUGACCGGCCACAAUGGGACUGAGAGACGGCCCAGAAUGCAACGGGAGGCAGCAGGGGGGAAUAUUGCACAAUGGGAGGAAGCCUGAUGCAGAAACGCAGCGAGCGGGAUGAUGGCCUUCGGGGUGUAAACAGAUUUCGCCUGUGACGAAGCGUGAGUGACGGUAAUGGGUAAAGAAGCACCGGCUAACUACGUG
rnacentral:rRNA from 1 species